GAUGAACGCUGGCGGCGUGCCUAAUACAUGCAAGUCGAACGCUGGAAAUCUAGCUUGCUAGAUUGAAGGAGUGGCGAACGGGUGAGUAAUACAUAAGCAACCUACCCACGAAGACUGGGAUAAUCUCUGGAAACGGGGACUAAUACCGGAUAGGUAAUCGGAAGGCAUCUUCUGAUUAUUAAAGGUUAAAAACACUGGUGGAUGGGCUUAUGGCGCAUUAGUUAGUUGGUGAGGUAACGGCCCACCAAGACGAUGAUGCGUAGCCGGCCUGAGAGGGUGAACGGCCACAUUGGGACUGAGACACGGCCCAGACUCCUACGGGAGGCAGCAGUAGGGAAUUUUCGGCAAUGGGGGAAACCCUGACCGAGCAACGCCGCGUGAGUGAUGACGGCCUUCGGGUUGUAAAGCUCUGUUGUAAGGGAAGAACGGUAGAUAGAGAAUAUCCAAAUGACGGUACCUUACCAGAAAGCCACGGCUAACUACGUG
rnacentral:rRNA from 1 species